GCUGGAGGUAUCAGAAGUGCGAAUGCUGACAUAAGUAACGAUAAAGCGGGUGAAAAGCCCGCUCGCCGGAAGACCAAGGGUUCCUGUCCAACGUUAAUCGGGGCAGGGUGAGUCGACCCCUAAGGCGAGGCCGAAAGGCGUAGUCGAUGGGAAACGGGUUAAUAUUCCCGUACUUGGUGUUACUGCGAAGGGGGGACGGAGAAGGCUAUGUUGGCCGGGCGACGGUUGUCCCGGUUUAAGCGUGUAGGUGUGUGUUCCAGGUAAAUCCGGUUCACUUUAACACUGAGGCGUGAUGACGAGGCACUACGGUGCUGAAGCAACAAAUGCCCUGCUUCCAGGAAAAGCCUCUAAGCAUCAGGUAACAUCAAAUCGUACCCCAAACCGACACAGGUGGUCAGGUAGAGAAUACCAAGGCGCUUGAGAGAACUCGGGUGAAGGAACUAGGCAAAAUGGUGCCGUAACUUCGGGAGAAGGCACGCUGACACGUAGGUGAAGUGAUUUACUCAUGGAGCUGAAGUCAGUCGAAGAUACCAGCUGGCUGCAACUGUUUAUUAAAAACACAGCACUGUGCAAACACGAAAGUGGACGUAUACGGUGUGACGCCUGCCCGGUGCCGGAAGGUUAAUUGAUGGGGUCAGCGCAAGCGAAGCUCCUGAUCGAAGCCCCGGUAAACGGCGGCCGUAACUAUAACGGUCCUAAGGUAGCGAAAUUCCUUGUCGGGUAAGUUCCGACCUGCACGAAUGGCGUAAUGAUGGCCAGGCUGUCUCCACCCGAGACUCAGUGAAAUUGAACUCGCUGUGAAGAUGCAGUGUACCCGCGGCAAGACGGAAAGACCCCGUGAACCUUUACUAUAGCUUGACACUGAACAUUGAGCCUUGAUGUGUAGGAUAGGUGGGAGGCUUUGAAGUGUGGACGCCAGUCUGCAUGGAGCCGACCUUGAAAUACCACCCUUUAAUGUUUGAUGUUCUAACGUGGACCCGUGAUCCGGGUUGCGGACAGUGUCUGGUGGGUAGUUUGACUGGGGCGGUCUCCUCCUAAAGAGUAACGGAGGAGCACGAAGGUUGGCUAAUCCUGGUCGGACAUCAGGAGGUUAGUGCAAUGGCAUAAGCCAGCUUGACUGCGAGCGUGACGGCGCGAGCAGGUGCGAAAGCAGGUCAUAGUGAUCCGGUGGUUCUGAAUGGAAGGGCCAUCGCUCAACGGAUAAAAGGUACUCCGGGGAUAACAGGCUGAUACCGCCCAAGAGUUCAUAUCGACGGCGGUGUUUGGCACCUCGAUGUCGGCUCAUCACAUCCUGGGGCUGAAGUAGGUCCCAAGGGUAUGGCUGUUCGCCAUUUAAAGUGGUACGCGAGCUGGGUUUAGAACGUCGUGAGACAGUUCGGUCCCUAUCUGCCGUGGGCGCUGGAGAACUGAGGGGGGCUGCUCCUAGUACGAGAGGACCGGAGUGGACGCAUCACUGGUGUUCGGGUUGUCAUGCCAAUGGCACUGCCCGGUAGCUAAAUGCGGAAGAGAUAAGUGCUGAAAGCAUCUAAGCACGAAACUUGCCCCGAGAUGAGUUCUCCCUGAGACUUAGAGUCUCCUGAAGGAACGUUGAAGACGACGACGUUGAUAGGCCGGGUGUGUAAGCGCAGCGAUGCGUUGAGCUAACCGGUACUAAUGAACCGUGAGGCUUAACCUU
rnacentral:rRNA from 1 species